GGACUACCGGGGUAUCUAAUCCUGCUAGUGCUCUGUGCCUUCGUCCUUCAGCGUCAGUUUCUACAUAAAAGGUUGCCUUCGCCUUUACCAGUCCCCAUAGGUAUAACAGAAUUCUAUCUCUUCUCCAUUAGUACGACCUUCUUAUAUAAAACUCUAGUAAAAUUGUCCUUUUUCAAGCUAAUUUUACCGCUUGGGUACCCUUUAAACCUAUUGAAAAUGAAUAACACUAGUCUCUUACGUAUUACCGCGGCUGCUGGCAC
rnacentral:rRNA from 1 species